CCUACGGGAGGCAGCAGUGGGGGAUAUUGCACAAUGGGGGAAACCCUGAUGCAGCGACGCCGCGUGGGUGAAGAAGCGCCUCGGCGCGUAAAGCCCUGUCAGCAGGGAAGAAAAUGACGGUACCUGAAGAAGAAGCCCCGGCUAACUACGGGCCAGCAGCCGCGGUAAUACGUCGGGGGCAAGCGUUAUCCGGAUUUACUGGGUGUAAAGGGGGCGCAGACGGCGAUGCAAGCCAGGAGUGAAAGCCCGGGGCCCAACCCCGGGACUGCUCUUGGGACUGCGUGGCUAGAGUGCAGGAGGGGCAGGCGGAAUUCCUGGUGUAGCGGUGAAAUGCGUAGAGAUCAGGAGGAACACCGGUGGCGAAGGCGGCCUGCUGGACUGCAACUGACGUUGAGGCCCGAAAGCGUGGGGAGCAAACAGGAUUAGAUACCCUUGUAGUC
rnacentral:rRNA from 1 species